GAGAAGAAGAAAUGGCAGACUAUGCAGACUAAGCACAUUUCAGCAGAAGUAGAGAAGUUACUUGCAUAAGUGCUGCUGUGAUAUAAAAGAAAUCUGUUUAUUUUGAACUGGAUAAUGUACAUUCUGUUCUGAGAGUUCUCCGGUUGGGUUUUUUUUUUUUUUGGACGACCGAUACCUGAACGAGCCAGUGGUUCCAGAAGCAGGAGGGUCCCGCCGCCAUCUUUGUGACUCGGACUGAAGCCUGGAAAGACGGAGGGCCUGGUGCUGCUGGAUGUUUUUGCGUGUACAACAGAUAAGCUUAUUGAACAUUUGGGCCCCAAAUCUUUUUUUUAUUCCACAAACUAUUUGUUCAUGAACAUUUUCAUAACGGACAACUUAAGUGCACAUUGACUGAACUGACUGACCGAACUGUUAUGUUGAAGGACUAACUGGAAUAUGUAAUUUAUUUUGUUGAAAUAAGCUUUAAAGCUACUGUUUAAAAAAAACUACCCUCAAUUUUCUAUAUAUUAAUUUGAUAUUUUUAUAUAAGGGUGGACAAUUUAAGUUUUAUACCUUAAUUUUAUUAAGGUAAUUAGUGUUACCUGGAUUAUUAUUUUGUUUGUGGGGAAAGAAAAAUAAACUUGAGUUGUUAAAACUUGUAUGCUUAUCAUCCUCCUCUGUGACCCUAGAACAAAAGUAACUUUCCUACUGAAUUUAUUGCUAAUUAAAUUAAGUAGUGGUUACACAAUCAUAAUUUCUGUCUCUGCUAUUUGUUAACUUUAGAGUAACUCUUACUUUUGUUUUGGACUUAUUUACGCACACGUUUUGUCCAAACCAGAUAUUUGACAUCAGGACAACAUUCACAAAAAAAAAAAGAAGAAUCAAAAACUGGUAAACAAGUGGUGACCUUGGUGCUGCCCAAGGUCCUCACCAACAUCCACCUGUUAGAAAAGAGCAUUAUUAGUGAAGAUCCAGCAAAACAAUGUUUUCCAAGUUAGUAUAUCAUGGUUACCUGAGUCUUCUGUGAAAUGAUGUCGUGUCUUUUGUGAUUUCCUUCCACACAAAUGUUGCAAAUGUGCAUGUGAUCAGUUAUGCAGUAAAAAUCUUUAGACUUCUGAUGAAGACAGCUUCUGUCUUGGAUGUCACUCCCGAUGUCUUUGAUAAUGUGUUUUUGCAACUGUGUGCCAUGUUGACGGGCAUGGGGCUCACAGAAGAAGUCGUUGCAGGUCUGGCAUAUCUUCACAGCUGCAUUGUGGUUGCAAAUGUCACACAUCAACUCCCCAUGGCUGAGAGGAGUAAAGAAAAGCAGGUAAUUACAAAAUAAAGAACAGUUGAAUUAUAUUUGUAAAGUGGAAUCAUCCCACAAAUGAAGACCUUUUCUACUCAUAAACUAAUCAGAAAUGCUAAUUUUAUUUUGCAGAGUCAGAUCAAGGUCUUUAAUGGCGUAUUAAGAACUCAGUGGGCUCCCUUGUUGGCAGGUUGAUAGAAUGUGGAUGGAUUUAAACAUAAGGAAAACUUCUUUGUUGAGGUUGAGGUGGGUUAUUAUCAUUGUGACAUGAUGUCAGGAUCCUUGAUGGAGCCUGGAGAAAAAGUGUUUGAAUGACAGCAACUUCUACAUUUGGGUUAGAUGAUACCGAUCAUUUAAAACUGUGUCACUGCUGCUUUGGGAAUCCCUAGAUUUAGACGAUGAAUAAUCACAGGUGUCAGAUGAAGAUAUGGACUCAGAUAUUUUUGGAUAGUACCGUCUAAGAGAGAAAAGAAGAAAAACAUGUAUCAGUCAGUAUUUGUUUAAUUUUGUAACUAAAUCAUACAAGGCACAGUUAAUGGAUAUUUACGUAAUUUAUGUCAAUUGUUUAUUUUAUUAUGCAACUUGUUUUACCUCCAUCUAUUAGAAUAUGUAAGCACAUUAAAGUCAAUCCUAACCAACUUUGAGAGUGUUCUUAGGUUGUUUUCUUGUGUGAAAUGCUCUUAAAAAAGUAUUUUUCAACUGGCUACUGAAACAUUUAGCUAAUCUGUUGAUCAUAUUUAAAAUGACUGAAUUUUUUUUUUUUUAAAAAUAUACAACAAUCUACUAAAGAUUUUUUAAAAAAAUUACCUCACACAAUAAGAUUGAGAACAUAGCAUUUAAAUAGCCCACUACUCUUUAAAUACUGUAUUUAAUGAAUCAUACCUGUGGGUAACAUCAUAUGGCGUCUUUAAGACAGGAUAUACAGAAGAUGGAGGGCUUUGUUCUAGAAAUCUGAACGUCAAAAUACACAGAUCAGAGCACAUUGCUUUUACAAUGUGUUGUACAUUAAACACAGAUGUAAACUAAACAGUCUGACUCUGUCUCAUAGAGAGAAUAGUCAUCUUCUGGUUUCUCUGAUCUGAAAAUGUCAGAUCAGAGUGUAAAAAUUCGCUGUAUCAUAACAUCAAGCAGUGAUCCUGCCAGGUGUACACAGUUGGGAAUUUUCGAAAGGUUUUCAGCAAAGAAGACAUAGUUAUAUUUGUUCUUUUUAACUGAGUUAACCUGUGUUGGAGCAUUAACCCUGUCUUGCAUAUAUUGUGGUUGGGACAAAAUAUUUGUAAAUGUCAAGAAAAGGAAAAAUAAGGAGAGACUUCAGCGUUACUAGAAAAGGAUGCAGUACUGAUUAAAUGUCCUCUGUGAACUUGCGCUGUUUUCAUUAUUAACAUCAAUGAAGUAUCAGAUUAGUAUCAGUUGAUGCUUGUACUAAAAUAAUUCAUUGACUGACACCAACAAUUCAGCCCCCAAAUUCAAAAAUUAUAGACAAAUAUAUUAAAUACAUCAAGGAUAAUUAAAUUAUGUCAACCUUCUAAUUUGAUAUAGAUGGUAAGUUUUCCCAGAAACUAAAAGUGUAAAUCUGUUUAUAUUAGAAGAAUGGAAGUGUGGAGACUUAAAAAACACAAAAAAAAAACUAAUGCUUAUUUAUUUAAGUUAUUAAAAUGGAAAAACUGAGAUAAGUGCAAUCGAGGCAUUUUCUCUCUAAUGGUGAUACACUUUCUGUAAUACUCGGGAGGAAUUUCACUCAAAAUGUUCAUCCGCUAUGCUCAAUUCAAUUAUCCACCUUUUAUUUUGCUGUAUUCUGGCCUUUGUUUGCAUGACGUUCAUAUUAUUUUUGGUUGUCGUUUUUUUGUGUCAUGUGAAAAGGCAUAACAAAGAAAUAUUUUGAAAAGUACUGAAAACAUAGAGGAGAUAGAUGGCAGGCAGACCUAUCUUACACUGUGUUCAUUAUUCUCAUUUAAUAAGAUACAUUUAGGUUUACAAUGACUUGAUCACACAUUUCAAAAGAGAAAAUCUGCAAGAACGGAUUGGAGAGAACGAGACUUUGGAUCAAGAAUGCAACUUAACUAUGAUCAAUAAUAAGCUAAAUAAUACAACGUACAACCACAUAAUAGUUACAAGUAUACUCUCAAGAAAAUGAUUUUUUUUAUUCACAGAAUCAAGUUAUCAGUAGCAUAAAUUGGUUUGGUAUUAAAAAAUGUACAACCUCUAAUCUGGAUUCCGACAAGACGUUAGUACAAAAAAGACUGGAAUCUAAGUGUUACUAAACUCUCACGCAGAAUUACCAGCUAGAAAAAAAACGUACAUUUUUUUAUAUAUUUUCAUUCAAAAUUUGGUCCAAAGCAUGAAAUCUUUUAAGCACACUUCAGAACAAAUGGAUACAACUGUGUUAUAUAAAUCUUUUUCAGAUGGAGUCGGAAUAAUGAUCAGUUCAACAAUAA